AGAUAAGCGGUUGCCAAAGGGCUGGAAGUGGCAGGAAGAGGAACACAAGUGACUGCUAAUGGAUAAGACAAGAGCUCACUCACUGGAGAGCAGUGGCAUGAUCACAGGUCACCGCAUCCUGGAAUUCCUGGGCUCAUGAGAUCCUCGCACCUCAGCUUCCCGAGUAGCUGGGACUACAAGGUGUUUAACACCAUACCGGCUAAUUUUUGUUUUUUGUUUUGUUUCGUUCGAUGAAGACGAACUCCUGGGUUCAUGCAAUCCUCCCACCUCGCUUCCCAAAGUGUUAAGAGUAUAGACGUGAUCCACUGACCCUGGCAAAACUAUUUUUUAAAAAAAGUGACAAUGGCUUAACACCUACAUUAGAUGACAAUAAAACCAGUGCAGAUGGUCAUGAAAAGCAAACAAAUUCAGGGAUUAUAGACUUUAUAACCAAGUAUAUCUACUGGUCUGUGAAAGGAGGAAAUGACAGAGUAUGAACAAUAAAAUACUAUAACAUAUAUUGACUUACAAACAUUAAUCACUUCUGCUUUCAAAACAUUUGGAGGGCAACCAUCUCAUUCAAAAAGACCAACUUAAUUAUUGAGGAAGAUAAGAGAAUAAAAGCUAAGGGAAAAAAUAAGAUUCAUGUACAGAAAUAUGUAAGAAUGACAUAUUGUAGUUUUAUGCUUUCAGAAGAGGCACAGUUAUGGAAAAUGAGGCCAACCUAUGGGUAUAACAGAAGGCUCCUAAAGUAUGGUGGUUUCUGAGGUAGGGACUUCAAGUUGUAAAUACAGUAUCCAUCUACUCCUGCUUUCUUACCAGAAGAACACUGAUUUUGCUAGGUGCAAUAAUGGACUAUCCUAAAAUUUUUAAGGUUCUGGAAGACAGAGACGAUAAUAUGACAUAAUUCUGGUAAAUAAGAUGUAAUAUUUGAGAUGACUUGGGGUGAGUUUUAGAAAGCUCCUUGACUAGGGGCAAACUAAGGUGAUAUUGUAACUCAGGGUCCCCAGGUUUUGGGGUAUGCACUGUGAAAAAGUACUCACUUGCGGCCGGGCGCAGUGGCGCACGCCUGUAAUCCCAGCACUUUGGGAGGCCGAGGCGGGCGGAUCACGAGGUCCAGAGAUAGAGACCACCCUGGCCAACAAGGUGAAACCCCAUCUCUACUAAAAGUACAAAAAUUAGCUGGGCAUGGUGGUGCAUGCCUGUAGUCCCAUCUAAUCGGGAGGCUGAGGCAGGACAAUCGCUUGAAGCCAGGGGACAGGGGUUGCGGUGAGCCAAGAUGGCGCCACUGCACUCCAGCCUGGCGACAGAGCAAGACUCCGUCUGAAAAGAAAAAGAAAACUCACUUUUGUAACUGUUGCGCCUUGAGUUCUUGUUGUUUCAAGAAGUUCCAGAAAGAAGCUCAGCCCAGUGGUUGGGUCCAGAGAUGAGUAAACUGGAGAUGAACUUUUGGCAAACUCUCCUCACUACCAUACUAAAAUCCCCACCCAGGAAGUAGUUUAUGUGCCAUUUUCUAUACAUCUGAUGUAUGUAAAAGCAUGAUAAAUGUGCCUGCACUGCCUUUAUUCCACCUCUAAUACAAUGACUCAGCUAACUAGCCCGGGUGUUCACCUUUGUUUGGGGAGGCACUGCCUUUGGGACUAUCCCUAGUGUCCUCCUUGCUUGGUGCAAGUAAUAAAAUCCCCCUGUGAAAUCAUACUUGGUUGUGGUCACUGGACUUGUCAUCCACCAAGCAAAUGAACCCACCCAUUGUGUGUGUGACACUAUGAGCCUUCUUGCCCUUUUCUGCUUCCUCCUCCUUCCUGCCUGGAGCUGAACUAAGGAAGACAACAACAGUAUCAGUUAUAUUGUAACUGACCAUGAGGAAAAGACCAAGAGAACAACAGCCCAGUCUUCAACAGCCCUGGCAUCCUUAAAUGAUCACAUCAACUCUGGAAUGUCUACUUCUGGACUUAAAAGGAAAACCUUAUCUAUUUUGUUUAACCACUGUUAAUUGGCAUUGAGGAAAAAAUACCAUGAGACAAAAACUUGAAAAUAUCAGAUACAAGUUCAUAAUAAAAACACAGAGACCUAGAACAGCCAUAAGAAGCGUACAA